CCAGGAACUACCAGGAAGUACUCUGGUAAGGAAAGAGGAACAUAAUUAGACACAACAAAACCCAUGACAGGGUUAACAAAAGGAGAGCGACCCCCGGGCUUCACCUCUCCCUGCCAUGUGCCACCGCUGGAAGGAUGUUUUCACAGUCCUGCCCAGCGGCUCCCUCCUGUGAUUAAUGUGUGUAUGUCGACGGCUACUUUUGGCAGGGUCUCGUCUGACAUGUCUGGAAAGUUCAAUUGUAUUCAUGGUUGGUACCAUAUCCGGACAGGAUAAGCUGAUAUUGCCCGUUCACAGUUUGGGAGAGGCAUCUUUUUGAAACAGAGUCAGCCAUGCUCUGCAACUAAAGAGGCUGCUAUCUAAAGAGCAGCCCACACACCGAUUGCACUGCCACCAGGGGCAGUUCAGGGUUAAGCGUGUUGCCCAAGGACACUUUGCCAUGUGGACAGCAGGACCUGGGAUCAAACCUCCAACCUCAGGAGAAACGACCAACUUAACCACUGAGCCACAGCUGCCCCACGUGUCUUUGGUUUCAUGGAUAUUCAUGUGGAGAAAAGAGUCUUCACAACAUUUAAGAAAGUCAUCAAGGACAGGACCACAGUGGUCUUGUUAUCUUGCAGAAGACUGACAGUUACAGGAUUGUCUGAGUACUUUAGAAUAGUUCUGUCCUCUAUGCUGCCUCACAUAUUAGUGUAGAGGAUGAUUUUAUUUUUCCAUUAUGCACUCUGAUUCUCAAGAAUAAAGUCAACA